rnacentral:rRNA from 1 species
AUGCACGCUGGCGGCGUGCCUAAUACAUGCCAGUCGAGCGCACAGACGAGGAGCUUGCUCCUCUGACGUUAGCGGCGGACGGGUGAGUAACACGUGGAUAACCUACCUAUAAGACUGGGAUAACUUCGGGAAACCGGAGCUAAUACCGGAUAAUAUAUUGAACCGCAUGGUUCAAUAGUGAAAGACGGUUUUGCUGUCACUUAUAGAUGGAUCCGCGCCGCAUUAGCUAGUUGGUAAGGUAACGGCUUACCAAGGCAACGAUGCGUAGCCGACCUGAGAGGGUGAUCGGCCACACUGGAACUGAGACACGGUCCAGACUCCUACGGGAGGCAGCAGUAGGGAAUCUUCCGCAAUGGGCGAAAGCCUGACGGAGCAACGCCGCGUGAGUGAUGAAGGUCUUCGGAUCGUAAAACUCUGUUAUUAGGGAAGAACAAAUGUGUAAGUAACUAUGCACGUCUUGACGGUACCUAAUCAGAAAGCCACGGCUAACUACGUG